CCGGGGGCGCGGCGUGCGGCUCCAACCCGGCGUUGUGGUUAGUUACCCGCCCGGCUGCACCCUCCGCCCGUGUGAGCCUCUCGGGCGAAGGGGCCGCGCCCAUCCUCCAGUUGUGGCCGGUGGUUCGGUCCCUGAUUCUUUGCCUCCGAGGUCCAGCUCAAACGUGACCGCCUCGGCCACGCGCCUCGGGCCGUGCCCAUUCCUGGGCAAAGCGGGCGAGUCAGGCUCGGCGGGUGAGCGGCACUCGGUCCUGUCCUGGGUGCCGACGCUCUGGCUGCGCUCGGAACCCCAGGCUUGAAACUCCGGUUUCCGGCCGGCAGAGGCGUUCAGCGGCCAGAUCCCACGGAAGCCCGCUCGGAGGGCCGGAACCAGGCCGGACCGGAGAUGGCGCCGCCCGCGGGAGGGGCGGCGGCCGGCUCGGACCCUGGCUCGGCCGCAGUGCUCCUGGCUGUGCACGCCGCGGUGAGGCCUCUGGGCUCCGGGCCGGACGCGGAGGCGCAGCUGAGGAGGCUGCAGCUGAGCGCAGACCCCGAGCGGCCGGGGCGCUUUCGACUGGAGUUGUUGGGCGCGGGCCCCGGGGCGGUCAGUUUUGAGUGGCCCCUGGAGUCCGUCUCCUACACCAUCCGCGGCCCCAUCCAGCAUGAGCUGCAGCCUCCACCAGGAGGCCCCGGAACCCUCAGCCUGCACUUCCUCAACUCUCAGGACGCUCAGCGGUGGGCAGCCCUGGUCCGAGGUGCCACCGUGGAGGGACAGAAUGGCAGUGGCAGCUCAACCCCAGCCCUGGGCCCAGAAACAUGCCCUGUUUCCCUGCCCAGUCCCCCUGAAACCCCAACACUCAAGGCCCCCCAACCCGAGGCGGAUCUUCCCCAGAGCCCUGGGGACUUGAUAGAGAAAGACCUGGCUGAGCGCCUGGCCCAGGCCAUUGCAGGUGGGGACAAGAAGGGGGCAGCCCAAGCUGCAGCCAUCAUGGCCCAGCAUCACGUGGCCCUCAGUGUCCAGCUCCAGGAGACCUGCUUCCCACCUGGUCCCAUCAGGCUGCAGGUCACACUUGAAGAUGCUGCAUCUGCUACAUCCUCCGCAUCCUCUGCCCACGUUGUGCUGCAGGUCUACCCCCACUGUACCAUUGCAGCCCUCCAGGAGCAGCUGUGCAGCGUUGGAUCAUUGGGCAGUGCCUAUGUGUGCCUGAACGCAGCCUUGCCUCCUAUGGGGUAUGGCAGGAUGGGGACCCUGCUUUCCUCUACUUGCUUUCAGCCCCUCGAGAAGCUCCAGGAUGCAGCCCUCAGCACCCCCAGAAGAUGGAUGGGGAACUAGGACACUUGUUUCCCCCAUCAAUGGGACUGCCUCGAGCCCCCCAGCCAGCUACUUCCAGCCUCCCCAGCCCCCCUCAGCCUGGCUGGCCCUGUCCUUCCUGCACCUUCAUCAACACCCCAAGCCGCCCUGGCUGUGAGAUGUGUAGCACCCAAAGGCCCUGCACUUGGGACUCCCUUCUGGCAGCUUCCACCUAGCAGCCAGCAAAGGU